rnacentral:rRNA from 1 species
GCCCAGACUCCUACGGGAGGCAGCAGUGGGGAAUAUUGGGCAAUGGGCGCAAGCCUGACCCAGCAACGCCGCGUGAAGGAAGAAGGCUUUCGGGUUGUAAACUUCUUUUAAGAGGGAAGAGAAGAAGACGGUACCUCUUGAAUAAGCCACGGCUAACUACGUGCCAGCAGCCGCGGUAAUACGUAGGUGGCAAGCGUUGUCCGGAUUCACUGGGUGUAAAGGGAGCGUAGACGGCGACGCAAGUCUGGAGUGAAAGCCCGGGGCCCAACCCCGGGACUGCUCUGGAAACUGCGUCGCUGGAGUACGGGAGGGGCAGGCGGAAUUCCUGGUGUAGCGGUGAAAUGCGUAGAUAUCAGGAGGAACACCAGUGGCGAAGGCGGCCUGCUGGACGACAACUGACGGUGAGGCGCGAAAGCGUGGGGAGCAAACAGGAUUAGAUACCCCGGUA